UGGGGAAUAUUGCACAAUGGGCGCAAGCCUGAUGCAGCCAUGCCGCGUGUGUGAAGAAGGCCUUCGGGUUGUAAAGCACUUUCAGCGGGGAGGAAGGCGUUAAGGUUAAUAACCUUGGCGAUUGACGUUACCCGCAGAAGAAGCACCGGCUAACUCCGUGCCAGCAGCCGCGGUAAUACGGAGGGUGCAAGCGUUACUCGGAAUUACUGGGCGUAAAGCGCACGCAGGCGGUCUGUCAAGUCGGAUGUGAAAUCCCCGGGCUCAACCUGGGAACUGCAUUCGAAACUGGCAGGCUAGAGUCUUGUAGAGGGGGGUAGAAUUCCAGGUGUGGCGGUGAAAUGCGUAGAGAUCUGAGGGAAUACCGGUGGCGAAGGCGGCCCCCUGGACAAAGACUGACGCUCAGGUGCGAAAGCGUGGGGAGCAAACAGG
rnacentral:rRNA from 1 species